UACGUAGGGUGCAAGCGUUGUCCGGAUUUAUUGGGCGUAAAGAGCUCGUAGGCGGUUUGUCGCGUCUGCUGUGAAAACUCGGGGCUUAACCCCGGGCCUGCAGUGGGUACGGGCAGACUAGAGUGCGGUAGGGGAGACUGGAAUUCCUGGUGUAGCGGUGAAAUGCGCAGAUAUCAGGAGGAACACCGGUGGCGAAGGCGGGUCUCUGGGCCGAUACUGACGCUGAGGAGCGAAAGCGUGGGGAGCGAACAGG
rnacentral:rRNA from 1 species